AAUCCAUUGUGUGGGCAGUCGCGCACUAAUCUCUUGAAUCUCGCCCAUGCAUCAUUGAGCGUUCAUCUUCUUCUUGUUCAAAAUUUGUGAUUAACUUCCUUCUUCU